rnacentral:rRNA from 1 species
AGGAUGAACGCUGGCGGCGUGCCUAACACAUGCAAGUCGAACGUCCUGUCUCGCAAGAGGCAGGGAGUGGCGGACGGGUGAGUACCACGUGGGUCAUCUACCGUGAGGUGAGGAAUACCGGCGAGAAAUCGCCGACAAGACCGCAUAGGCUCGAUGCAAGUCGAGCAAAGCUCUCUCGAGAGAGGGAGCGCCACACGAGGAGCCUGCGCCCGAUUAGCUAGCUGGUGGAGUAAUGGUUCACCAGGGCGACGAUCGGUAGCUGGUCUGAGAGGACGAUCAGCCACACUGGGAUUGAGAACGGCCCAGACUCCUACGGGGGCAGCAGUGAGGAAUUUCGUCAAUGGGGGCAACCCUGAACGAGCAACGCCGCGUGCAGGAAGAAGGUUUUCGGAUCGUAAACUGCUUUUCUCGGGGAAGAGAACGGACGGUACCCGAGGAAUCAGCCCCGGCUAACUACGCGCCAGCAGCCGCGGU